UUGAACGCUGUCGACAGGCCUAACACAUGCAAGUCGAGCGGUAACACAAGGGAGCUUGCUCCUGAGGUGACGAGCGGCGGACGGGUGAGUAAUGCCUAGGUAUCUGCCCAGUCGAGGGGGAUAACAGUUGGAAACGACUGCUAAUACCGCAUACGCCCUACGGGGGAAAGGAGGGGACCUUCGGGCCUUCUGCGAUUGGAUGAACCUAGGUGGGAUUAGCUAGUUGGUGAGGUAAUGGCUCACCAAGGCGACGAUCCCUAGCUGGUCUGAGAGGAUGAUCAGCCACACUGGAACUGAGACACGGUCCAGACUCCUACGGGAGGCAGCAGUGGGGAAUAUUGCACAAUGGGCGAAAGCCUGAUGCAGCCAUGCCGCGUGUGUGAAGAAGGCCUUCGGGUUGUAAAGCACUUUCAGCGAGGAGGAAAGGUUAGUGAUUAAUACUCAUUAGCUGUGACGUUACUCGCAGAAGAAGCACCGGCUAACUUCGUGCCAGCAGCCGCGGUAAUACGAGGGGUGCAAGCGUUAAUCGGAAUUACUGGGCGUAAAGCGUACGCAGGCGGUUUGUUAAGCGAGAUGUGAAAGCCCCGGGCUCAACCUGGGAACUGCAUUUCGAACUGGCAAACUAGAGUCUUGUAGAGGGGGGUAGAAUUUCAGGUGUAGCGGUGAAA
rnacentral:rRNA from 1 species